rnacentral:rRNA from 1 species
AGUGAACGCUGGCGGUAGGCCUAACACAUGCAAGUCGAACGGCAGCACAGUAAGAGCUUGCUCUUACGGGUGGCGAGUGGCGGACGGGUGAGGAAUACAUCGGAAUCUACUUUUUCGUGGGGGAUAACGUAGGGAAACUUACGCUAAUACCGCAUACGACCUACGGGUGAAAGCAGGGGAUCUUCGGACCUUGCGCGAUUGAAUGAGCCGAUGUCGGAUUAGCUAGUUGGCGGGGUAAAGGCCCACCAAGGCGACGAUCCGUAGCUGGUCUGAGAGGAUGAUCAGCCACACUGUAACUGAGACACGGUCCAGACUCCUACGCGGGGCCGCAGUGGGGAAUAUUGGACAAUGGGCGCAAGCCUGAUCCAGCCCUACCGCGUGGGUGAAGAAGGCCUUCGGGUUGUAAAGCCCUUUUGUUGGGAAAGAAAAGCAGCAGGUUAAUACCCCGCUGUUCUGACGGUACCCAAAGAAUAAGCACCGGCUAACUUCGUG